rnacentral:rRNA from 1 species
UACGUAGGGUGCGAGCGUUGCCCGGAUUUAUUGGGCGUAAAGGGCGCGUAGGCGGCCACGCACGUCCGUUGUGAAAUCGCCCGGCUCAACUGGGCGGGGUCAGCGGAUACGGUGUGGCUAGAGCGAGCUAGGGGGCAAUGGAAUUCCCGGUGUAGUGGUGGAAUGCGUAGAUAUCGGGAGGAACACCAGUGGCGAAGGCGGUUGCCUGGAGCUUUGCUGACGCUGAUGCGCGAAAGCGUGGGGAGCGAUCCGG